ACAAGCAGCGGAGCAUUGUGGUUUAAUUCGAAGCAACGCGAAGAACCUUUACCAGGGCUUGACAUGCCGCUGACCGGUUUAGAGAUAGAUCUUUACCCUUCGGGGUACAGCGGACACAGGUGGUGCAUGGUUGUCGUCAGCUCGUGUCGUGAGAUGCUGGGUUAAGUCCCGCAACGAGCGCAACCCCUAUUGUUAGUUGCCAUCAUUCAGUUGGGCACUCUAGCGAGACUGCCGGUAAUAAACCGGAGGAAGGUGGGGAUGACGUCAAAUCAUCAUGCCCCUUAUGACCUGGGCUACACACGUGCUACAAUGGUUGGUACAACGAGUUGCGAGUCGGUGACGGCGAGCUAAUCUCUUAAAGCCAAUCUCAGUUCGGAUUGUAGGCUGCAACUCGCCUACAUGAAGUCGGAAUCGCUAGUAAUCGCGGAUCAGCACGCCGCGGUGAAUACGUUCCCGGGCCUU
rnacentral:rRNA from 1 species